AAAAGGACUAACAUUUCAACUAUCAACGUGCCUCUCCAGUUUUACAAGUUAUUGCUGCCCAGUAUUUCAGUUCUAAGGAUACAAUGUGUUUUUGGUAUUAUACACUGUGGGAUGAAUAUAUCAAGGUAAUUAACAUAUCUAUCGUCUCACAUGCUUCACUUUUUUUUUUGCAGUGAGAAGAUUUAAAAUCUACUCCUUUAGCAAUUUUGAGAUAUACAUUACAAUUAAUUAUGGUCACUUUGUUAUGCAAUAAAUCCUGAACACUUAUUC
rnacentral:lncRNA from 1 species